rnacentral:ribozyme from 14 species
AACACAUACACAGAUAGAUAGAUAGAUAGAGAGAUGGCGAGUUCGUUCGUUCGUUCGUUAGAUAGUUAGAUAGAGCAACACGCUUCUUUCGUUAGUCGCCUUUUUUUCUCUUUUCUCCUUUUUUUUUUUUUUUUUCUUUCAUUCA